rnacentral:lncRNA from 1 species
GACGCUAUAGCGGUCCAUGAUGUCAGAGAGUUCAACCAAGCAUGAUUUCGAAGAGGCAUAGUCUGCAGACAAAACGAUGAUUGAGAUAUUUGAGACUGCAAUUGCUCGAGAAAGUGCUUGUGAAAGCUGGUCCCCCCUUUCCAGUUUUUCUUCAUCGAAGAAAACAUCAAGUCCCUCGUCUUUCAAAGCUUGAAGUAAGUGAGUGGUGAAAUUAAGGCGCGUGUCUUCACUUCUGAAGCUCAAGAAAACAUGAUACUUCAUUAGAGUAGAAGAUGAAGAAGAAGAACCCAUGAAAGAGUAUUGAUAGUGUGCUUGAAGCAAAAGAGAGAACAAAUAUAGCAAGUGAGUUUUGCUUGGGUUGUGGUAUUAUUGUAAGAAGAAAAAGUGUAAAUGGGAAAGAGAUUGAAGGCCUAGGCAAAAGCACAGGCGACGAUUUGAGCUUAGCCAACUAUCCUUUAGUCAACACUGGUGUUACUUGCACGCCACAUUAUCUUUUUGAAGAAAGCAAUGAGUUUCAAACUCUGAAGAGAGUUUUUUAUAUACAGCCUCAGCAAGGGUUGUUUCGCCUUGACCACCCAUUCCCCAAAGUCCUAUUACACGACAGUCUUUUUGCUUAAUCAGCUUCAAAAUCGUCCUUUUCUGAUAUUCUAUUCCAACCAAUUCUUCAGAAGCACUUUCAAACCCAAUAUUCGUCAACUUUUUUAUAACAUAUGAUUAAAUUAUUUAUUAUUUAUAUUAAUAAUCUUAUUAAAAUUUAAUAACAAUAACAAUAAUUAUCUACCUAAAAAAAAUUCUGCUAAGGGUAUUCUAGUUAUUUUUAGGGGUGUGCAUAAUUCGGGUAAAACCGAAAAAAUUCGGUUAACCGACCAAAUUCGGUUAAUCGGUCGGUUAACCAAAUUUUUACGGUCGGGGGUCGGUUAAUUUUUUUUAUGAUUUUUUGUUAACGGUUAAUUCGGUUCGAAACCGGUCGGUUAACCGAAUUUUUUCGGUUAACCGAAAAAAUUAAUAAAUAAAAUUAUUCAACCCAACCCAAUUACCAACCUAACCCAAUAAAACUAAAACAAAAGUCUACCCAAUUACCUAACCUAAUAAAACUAAAACAAAAGCCUACCAAAUUACCAACCCAAUAAAAAUAAAACUAAAGUCUAACUCUUAAGUAUCUACCCAAUUACACAUGUUUUUUUGUUAGGUUUAAUGCAAAUGAAGAUUUUUUGGAGAGAAGAAAUGGAUAUAAAUGGAGAAUAUUAAAGACUUACAUUUAAACUAUGUGUUAUUUCAAGAAUUAAUUUCAAGAAUUAUGUAAUGUUUUUAAUUAUGUAGUGGUUCAAAGACUUAUGUAAUAUUUUUAAUUAUGUAGUGAUUCAAUUCGGGUAAUUCGGUUAAUUCAGUUAAUUCGGGUAAUUCGGUUAAUUCGGUUAAUUCGGUUAAAUCGGUUAAUUUGGUUAGUUUUUAACCAAAAAUAAAUACCAUACAAUUUUUGGUUAAUUCGGUUAACUAAUCUAAUUAACCGAAAAAAUUUCGGUUCGGUUAAUUUCUUUUUAAAAAAAUUCGGUUCGGUUAACGGUUAAAAAUUUUAGAAAGUCGGUUAAUUCGGUUAUAGCUAUUUCGGGUCGGUUAACCGGUCGGUUAACCGAAUGCACACCCCUAAUUAUUUUAGUUUUUGUCCUUAUGCUAUUACAACAUCAUAUAGUUUAAGGGUAUUCUGCUAAGGAAAACAUGAUACUUCAUUAGAGUAGAAGAUGAAGAAGAAGAAGAAGCCAUGGAAGAGUAUUGAAGCAAAAGAGAG